AGUUGGUGGAGUGAUUUGUCUGGUUAAUUCCGUUAACGAACGAGACCUCGACCUGCUAAAUAGUUCGGCGAUCUCUUCGGGGAUCGUGCUAACUUCUUAGAGGGACUAUCGGUGAUCUAGCCGAUGGAAGUUCGAGGCAAUAACAGGU
rnacentral:rRNA from 1 species